CCUACGGGUGGCAGCAGUGGGGAAUAUUGCACAAUGGAGGGAACUCUGAUGCAGCGACGCCGCGUGAGUGAAGAAGUAAUUCGUUAUGUAAAGCUCUAUCAGCAGGGAAGAAAGUGACGGUACCUGAAAAAGAAGCUCCGGCUAAAUACGUGCCAGCAGCCGCGGUAAUACGUAUGGAGCAAGCGUUAUCCGGAUUUACUGGGUGUAAAGGGGGCGUAGACGGGAAUGCAAGUCUGGAGUGAAAGGGGGGGGCUCACCCCCCGGACGGCUCUGGAAACUGGGUAACUGGAGUGCAGGAGAGGCAGGCGGAAUGCGUAGUGUAGCGGUGAAAUGCGUAGAUAUUAGGAGGAACACCAGUGGCGAAGGCGGCCUGCUGGACUGUAACUGACGUUGAGGCUCGAAAGCGUGGGGAGCAAACAGGAUUAGAUACCCGAGUAGUC
rnacentral:rRNA from 1 species